rnacentral:rRNA from 1 species
AUACGUAGGUGGCAAGCGUUGUCCGGAUUUACUGGGCGUAAAGGAUGCGUAGGCGGAUGUUUAAGUGAGAUGUGAAAUUCCCGGGCUUAACUUGGGAGCUGCAUUUCAAACUGGAUGUCUAGAGUGCAGGAGAGGAGAAUGGAAUUCCUAGUGUAGCGGUGAAAUGCGUAGAGAUUAGGAAGAACACCAGUGGCGAAGGCGAUUCUCUGGACUGUAACUGACGCUGAGGCAUGAAAGCGUGGGUAGCAAACAGGAUUAGAUACCCUGGUAGUCCACGCCGUAAACGAUGAGUACUAGGUGUAGGAGGGUCCAACCUUCUGUGCCGCAGUUAACACAAUAAGUACUCCGCCUGGGAAGUACGAUCGCAAGAUUAAA